rnacentral:lncRNA from 1 species
GCCUGCCUGCACAUGCUUUUUCACACUCUGCCCAAACUGCAAACUUUAGUAGCUUCAUGUUUUAAAGCCUGCCAGUGUAGCAGAACAAUUUUCAAUCUGUGGAGCUGAACAAUGAGGGGGAAACUGAAGCCACAGGAGUGCAAAGAGAAAGAGAUAGUUUUGGUUAAGCAGACAUUAUCAGAGGUCGACAUGUCUGGAUCAACAGUCUCCAUGAAUUAUGUCGGUCAAGGAGCCACUAUGGAGAGAUGAAAGAGACACGUGUGGAUCUGGAGUCAAAGGCUUGAAGCAGCUAGAGGACUCUGCUGGACGCGUCCCAGCAAUGGGGGGGAGGGGGAGUUGUUUCCAGUCAGAUCUGAGCGCCUGUGACUGCGUUUACACCUGAAACCUGACCUGCACUGCUGCCCU